rnacentral:rRNA from 1 species
GAUGAACGCUGGCGGCGUGCCUAAUACAUGCAAGUCGAGCGAACGGACGAGAAUCUUUCUUCUCUGAUGUUAGCGGCGGACGGGUGAGUAACACGUGGAUAACCGACCUAUAAGACUGGGAUAACUUCGGGAAACCGGAUCUCAUACCGGUUAAUAUUUUGAACCGCAUGGUUCAACAGUGAAUGCCGGUUUUGCUGUCACUUAUAGAUGGAUCCGCGCUGCAUUAGCUAGUUGGUAAGGUAACGGCUUACCAAGGCAACGAUGCAUAGCCGACCUGAGAGGGUGAUCGGCCACACUGGAACUGAGACACGGUCCAGACUCCUACGGGAGGCAGCAGUAGGGAAUAUUCCGCAAUGGGCGAAAGCCUGACGGAGCAACGCCGCGUGAGUGAUGAAGGUCUUCGGAUCGUAAAACUCUGUUAGUAGGGAAGAACAGAUGUGUAAGUAACUGUGCACAUCUUGACGGUACCUAAACAGAAAGCAACGGCUAACUACGUG